CAGCAGCCGCGGGAACACGAAGGGUGCAAGCGUUAAUCGGAAUUACUGGGCGUAAAGCGUGCGUAGGCGGUUUGUCAAGUCUGCUGUGAAAUCCCCGGGCUCAACCUGGGAAUGGCAGUGGAUACUGGCAAGCUAGAGUGUGUCAGAGGAUGGUGGAAUUCCCGGUGUAGCGGUGAAAUGCGUAGAGAUCGGGAGGAACAUCAGUGGCGAAGGCGGCCAUCUGGGACAACACUGACGCUGAGGCACGAAAGCGUGGGGAGCAAACAGGAUUAGAUACCCCGGUAGUCCCUGUCUCUUAUAC
rnacentral:rRNA from 1 species